rnacentral:snoRNA from 1 species
AACCUAUGGUGAGGGCACCUUCUCAAAAUGUCCUUGUAUCUCUCAUGCAUCGUAAAGUGUUUCUAAAUCCAUCUGCACAAAAGAAGAGAUAUCAUUACGUAAUUU